UACGUAGGGUGCAAGCGUUGUCCGGAUUCAUUGGGCGUAAAGAGCUUGUAGGCGGUUCGGCAAGUCGGGUGUGAAAACUCCAGGCUCAACCUGGAGACGCCACCCGAUACUGCUGUGACUUGAGUCCGGUAGGGGACCACGGAAUUCCUGGUGUAGCGGUGAAAUGCGCAGAUAUCAGGAGGAACACCGGUGGCGAAGGCGGGUCUCUGGGCCGUAACUGACGCUGAGGAGCGAAAGCGUGGGGAGCGAACAGG
rnacentral:rRNA from 1 species